GACGAACGCUGGCGGCGUGCUUAACACAUGCAAGUCGAACGGAAAGGCCCUGCUUUUGUGGGGUGCUCGAGUGGCGAACGGGUGAGUAACACGUGAGUAAGCUGCCCUUGACUUUGGGAUAACUUCAGGAAACUGGGGCUAAUACCGGAUAGGAGCCCCUGCUGCAUGGUGGGGGUUGGAAAGUUUCGGCGGUUGGGGAUGGACUCGCGGCUUAUCAGCUUGUUGGUGGGGUAGUGGCUUACCAAGGCUUUGACGGGUAGCCGGCCUGAGAGGGUGACCGGCCACAUUGGGACUGAGAUACGGCCCAGACUCCUACGGGAGGCAGCAGUGGGGAAUAUUGCACAAUGGGCGGAAGCCUGAUGCAGCAACGCCGCGUGCGGGAUGACGGCCUUCGGGUUGUAAACCGCUUUCGCCUGUGACGAAGCGUGAGUGACGGUAAUGGGUAAAGAAGCACCGGCUAACUACGUG
rnacentral:rRNA from 1 species